UUUGCGCCUUCCAUUUUACUCUCUCUCUCUCCAUUUUAUCAAGCCCUAGGUUUUUUCACAGGAUUCUCGGUGGAGCUCCCAAACGGGCAUCACAUUAAUUGGACAGCUUAACACAUUUGCCCACCGAAUCAGUUUUAGAAUCCAAAUUGGUUGUGCAAAACUUGGAGAGAUGUUCAUCAUCAUCCAUUCAUCCUUCUCUCAGAACCAUUUAAAUCAUGUCUAAUCUUCAGCUGACGAUUCAGAUUAAACAUACAGUAUUAAAGGGGACAUGAGGAAUCUCAUUAAGGCUCUUGUGCUCAGUUCUUUCAGGUUUUUAUGGUGGUGGACUUCCGCUUUAGUCCAUGUCUGUGGGUUGUUCCAUUUGUCAAAGACAUACAUACACCAAUACGUUUAGUCACUUACGGAGAUAGGAAGGAAAAUCACUUUGCAGUAUGUACAGUAAAAAUUCCAUUAGGCAUUUCCUAAUAAAAAGUGGAAAAUACCAAUGGGAGAUGAAGAUAUCUAUGGAUCUAUUGGUUGAGGAUGUUAAGAAGUGAAACUCGGUUCUUGAUCAGACACCUAAAGACAGAUUCUAGUCCAUCUUCAAGUUCUUGAAGGUUCAUCUCAAGGUCAGCCAAUGACUUCUGCACUUCUUUUGUUUCAAUGACUUUGGAUUUCAAAGCGACAUCGAUCUUGGUUACUUCAUUGACAACUUGUUGGGUUGCACUUUUGGUGGUCAACUUUGAGACUAGUGACCUUUGCUUUGGUGCAGAUAAGAAAGACAGGAUAGAUUCAAAAACUGCAAGAGUGGUUGCUUCAACUUCUGUUAGGACAUCGGUAACGAGGUCAUUGUUUUUGUUGGUGUUUUUCUUAAUAUCUGAAAGGCAUUUUUGGAUGACUUUGCAGACUUUCUUUCUUGAGGUCAUGUAUGUGUCAAACUCAUUUGAUUGCCUUCGGAUAGAUGAUUGAAGAUCUUGGGCAGAUUGCUUCAUUUGAGAUGAAACAUCCUUAAUAGUUCCACAGACAUCCAACAACAUGACAGAUCUGUCCAAGACUGCGUCUAAGCAUUUUCCAUCUUCGGUAGAGAGGAAAUCCUCGACACAUUCAUACAAGUCCUUAAGAGCAACCAAGUUGUUGGAGAUGGAUGAGGUGAGAACUGAAGAUCUCAAUUUGCAGAGUUGUUCCUCAACUGCAGUAGCAAGUGGCUUGGAUCUGGUGGGCAAACUGAUUGAACGAGCAUGAAAAGUUUUUUUUGAGUCUGGACUCAGGCUACAAUGGAUAGCAAGUGGACGUAUUCAAGUGGUGGAACUUCCCCUAUAAGCGCCAUUGUCUCUGCAUUGUUCCCUCCAUCAAUGACAAAUAGUAUGUACCCUACCGACUCUAUAGCAUCAAUUAAUAUAUAAUUUUAUUUUAUAAGACGAAUCCUAUUGAAUUAGCCAAAUAUGCAAGUACGUGCAUGAAUGCAUUACUACCUAGAAAGAUUUGUAAUGAUACACAUAAUAAUCGAUGUAUACGUUUCCCAACCGUUGGAAUCUUGACAGCCUUACAUUUUAUUAUAAAU